rnacentral:rRNA from 1 species
CAAGUCGAACGAUUAAAGCUCUCUUCGGAGAGUGUAUAGAGUGGCGCACGGGUGAGUAACACGUAAGUAAUCUACCUUUGAGUGGGGAAUAACAGUCGGAAACGACUGCUAAUACCGCAUAAUGCAGCGGCACCGCAAGGUGACAGUUGUUAAAGGAGCAAUUCGCUUAAAGAGGAGCUUGCGGCAGAUUAGCUUGUUGGUAAGGUAACGGCUUACCAAGGCUACGAUCUGUAACCGGUCUUAGAGGACGGUCGGUCACACUGACACUGAAUAACGGGUCAGACUCCUACGGGAGGCAGCAGUCGGGAAUUUUGGGCAAUGGGGGAAACCCUGACCCAGCAACGCCGCGUGAAGGAUGAAGUAUUUCGGUAUGUAAACUUCGAAAGAAUAGGAAGAAUUAAUGACGGUACUAUUUAUAAGGUCCGGCUAGCUACGUGCCAGCAGCCGCGGUAAUACGUAGGGACCAAGCGUUGUUCGGAUUUACUGGGCGUAAAGGGCGCGUAGGCGGUGCGGUAAGUCACUUGUGAAAUCUCUGAGCUUAACUCAGAACGGCCAAGUGAUACUGCAGUGCUAGAGUGCGGAAGGGGCAAUCGGAAUUCUUGGUGUAGCGGUGAAAUGCGUAGAUAUCAAGAGGAACACCUGAGGUGAAGACGGGUUGCUGGGCCGACACUGACGCUGGAGCGCGAAAGCCAGGGGAGCAAACGGGAUUAGAUACCCCGGUAGUCCUGGCCCUAAACGAUGAAUACUUGGUGUCUGGAGUCUUUAAUGCUCCGGGUGCCGUCGCUAACGUUUUUAGUAUUCCGCCUGGGGGAGUACGCUCGCAAGAGUGAAACUCAAAGGAAUUGACGGGGACCCGCACAAGCGGUGGAGCAUGUGGUUUAAUUCGACGCACCGCGAAGAACCUU